rnacentral:rRNA from 1 species
CAGCGCCACGAGUGGGAAUCGUGUUUAUUGGGCCUAAAGCGUCCGUAGCCGGUCAAGUAAAUCUUUUGUGAAAUCAUCGGGCUUAACCCGAUGGCGUGCAGAAGACACUGCUUGACUAGGAACCGGGAGGAGUCAGAGGUAUGGGAUGGGGAGCGGUAAAAUGCGAUAAUCCAUCUUAGACCACCUGUGGCGAAGGCGUCUGACUAGAACGGAUUCGACGGUGAGGGACGAAAGCCAGGGGAGCGAUCCGGAUUAGAUACCCGAGUAGUCC